UAGUCCUGGCUCAGAACGAACGCUGGCGGCGUGCUUAACAACACUGGCAAGGUCAGGGACGAAAAGUUACCAUUUUGGAGCGAGUAAACCGGACGCACGGGUGAGUAACACGUGAGUAACCUGCCUUUUAGACUGGAAUAACUUACCGAAAGGUGAGGCUAAUGCCGGGAUGCAUUAUAUAUCUGCAUGGGUAUAUGAAAAAGUUGGGGUGACCUGACGCUGAGAGAUGGACUCGCGUCCCAUUAGCUAGUUGGUGGGGUAUUGGCCUACCAAGGCGACGAUGGGUAGCCGGCCUGAGAGGGUGGCCGGCCACACUGGGACUGAGACACGGCCCAGACUCCUACGGGAGGCAGCAGUGGGGAAUUUUGCGCAAUGCUCGAAAGAGUGACGCAGCGACGCCGCGUGAAUGACGAAGGCCUUCGGGUCGUAAAGUUCUUUCGACAGGGAAGAAUGUGUAUAGUAGUAACUGACUAUACAGUGACGGUACCUGUAUAAGCAGCCCCGGCUAACUCCGUG
rnacentral:rRNA from 1 species